AAUGUGUUAUUUACAAUUGGGUUAUUGUUGGUAGCAUAGAUGACAACGUUAUGCAAUGAGAUUAUGGUGUAGGAAGCUGUGAAUUUUCCUUUAUGGGCUGUUUGUUGACCGUGAAUU